GACGUAGGGCGCGAGCGUUGUCCGGAUUUAUUGGGCGUAAAGAGCUCGUAGGCGGCUUGUCGCGUCGGCUGUGAAAUCCCGUGGCUCAACUGCGGGUCUGCAGCCGAUACGGGCAGGCUAGAGUUCGGUAGGGGAGACUGGAAUUCCUGGUGUAGCGGUGAAAUGCGUAGAUAUCAAGAGGAACACCUGCGGCGAAGGCGGGUUGCUGGGCCGACACUGACGCUGAUGCGCGAAAGCUAGGGGAGCGAACGGG
rnacentral:rRNA from 1 species